rnacentral:rRNA from 1 species
UACGAAGGGGACUAGCGUUGUUCGGAAUCACUGGGCGUAAAGCGCACGUAGGCGGAUUUGUAAGUCAGGGGUGAAAUCCCGGGGCUCAACCUCGGAACUGCCUUUGAUACUGCGAAUCUUGAGUCCGAUAGAGGUGGGUGGGAAUUCCUAGUGUAGAGGUGAAAUUCGUAGAUAUUAGGAAGAACACCGGUGGCGAAGGCGGCCCACUGGAUCGGUACUGACGCUGAGGUGCGAAAGCGUGGGGAGCAAACAGG